UCGCAGUAGGAGUCGUCCACAGGAUUGGCCAGCGGGUCGGUGCAGGUGACUGUUCUCUGUCGCAUGCCGACCCCGCAGGUUGCUGUACACUGUGAACAGAAGAGAUGUGGAGGGAGAAAGCUUGCUCUGUCUUGCAAGACAUGAGGGCUCGCUCACUGACAGUGUCAAGACAUUUGGAGGAUGUGACAGCUCUUACUUUGCUACUCUGGGACUAGCAUGGGAAGAGACUUUGCUUUGCUGGCUAAGGUGUAUACUGUGGGACAGUCCUUGACCUGACAUGACCUCUGCAGCCGAGGUUUCUUCAUCCCCUGGCAGCGUUCCUCCUCGAUGGGCUUGCCUUUGCGGCCCAGACGACAGUGGACCUCCCGCCUCAUGGUGCCCUUCCCACAAGUCACCGAACACUACGCAAGGAAAGAGUUCAAGGUCAUCACUGUGAUCAUUCUGGCAGGACAAAACCUUCUACUGCUCACAAUGGGCAACUUCACUCUGGAUUCAGCCCAUUAGUCUCAAGGUUGAAGGGGACUCUGCACUUUUGUACUUGACGGCAACAAGUCGUGACGCACUUUGGGAGGAAUGCCGUGGAUGUGUGGGCCCAGAUGUGAGUGCUUUUCUGCCUCCAUUGUCGGGGCCUGGCUGGGUGGGGAUUGUUCUGUGGAGCCACUGCUGCUGUGGGGAGGGCAGCGGGACAGAAUGGAGCUGUCAGGGGAGAAGGAGUGGGACGUCAGGACUGAUGUCACAGUCUCCUCUCUGAUGGGCCCACCUGCAGACAGUACCAACAGUCCUCACUCACCACCUGAAGGUCCUGCUUGUCUAUAGGACUGGGGCAUUCCUUAUAUUCCACUGGUUUUACAAAAAUGUACCAGUGUCUGUGUUUCUUGGAAAUUGUACUUUGGAUGUGAUAAGCAGCAUCUUGGCAAGGGAAAUCCCUGAAGCAAGGAGACCAAACAAGUUGGUACCUUGACCAAGGUAAGUCCCCCUCCAUUUCUGGCUUGUACCUCCCAGUUCCUUGGCAUUGUGGGAAGGAUGCCAUAGAGUGUUUGAAUUAUUCAUUCCCUUAUUAUAUUUCUUGUCGAUGACUUAAAUUCUGAUGAAACAUUUCCAUCCUUGGCAAACCUAGGAGUAUAACAUACUGUAAUGUGUGUGCAUGUUUUGAACUGAUAAAUUGUAAUGUCACUUAUUCUCGAAUUUUCAAAAAUAUUCUAGGUUCUCAGUAAUAAGAUACUACUGCAAAGUAUUCCCACAACCAAACAGCGAAACAAAUACUCUGGCUUAAAACUUUCACUCCUUUGUUUUUCUGAAAGUCUAAGCCUUUGUCAGGAAGUGUGAUUACAUUUUUUCUCACACAUUUUCUUCACAAAUCCAGUCCAAACCAGUCGCACCACCUGUGCAGUAUGUUCCCACCAUCCAGCUCCUGUCUGUCAUCACUCUCUCGCUACAAAUCUCUUCAUUGUCUCUUUUAUGCCUUCUGUCUCUUUUAUCCAGGCCUUUUCCUUUGCAACGUUUCUUUUUCUUACCCCCCUCCAUCAAAGACUGGGGUCAUUCCAAGGGGCAAGAUCAGUUUCAUGUAGCUGUCAUCAGCUACUUGAGACUGAAAAGAUGACAUUUAGUGGCCAUAAAUUCUCGCCUGUCUCCCUUUCUGUUUUUUGUGGCUUUCCCUUUGGUAGCCGCUUAAGUGUGACUGUUGGAGUGUCGAUCUGAAGUGUUGGUUUGGCUACAUGAGUAAAACAAAUGGCCGGGCGUGUGAAUGGCCAAGUGCAGGUUGUUACCGGGGAGGGGGGAUGUGUGUCUUAUGUUUCAUGCCUGCUGUCUUAAGAAAACAGUGAGAACU